GUGUCAGCCGCCGCGGUAAUACAGAGGGUGCGAGCGUUGUCCGGAAUCACUGGGCGUAAAGGGCGCGUAGGCGGCUUGCUAAGUAGGGGGUGAAAUCUUGCGGCUCAACUGCAAGGCUGCCUCCUAAACUGACAGGCUUGAGCACAGUAGAGGCAGGUGGAAUUCCCGGUGUAGCGGUGGAAUGCGUAGAGAUCGGGAAGAACAUCGGUGGCGAAGGCGGCCUGCUGGGCUGUUGCUGACGCUGAGGCGCGACAGCGUGGGGAGCAAACAGGAUUAGAAACCCCCGUAGUCC
rnacentral:rRNA from 1 species